UUUUCAAAGGAGCAAGUAGUUGUUAAUCUCCAGAACCAACUUCUGCAGUGUGAAUGGCUUUCCUGUAAACUGUUCUGGUGCAGUUAGAAGCUGAUGAUCUUGGAGUUAAUUGGCAAUUUCAGAGAAUUUGGAGAGGAGACCUUGGAAGCCUUUUAGAAGGUAUCGUUUGGACAGAAAAUAGUGCACCCAUGGAACAGCAAACUCCCAGCUCUUCCAAUCUUCUGGCGAAUGGAAAUGAAAAAAAAUUUGAAUGUGAUUACUGUACACUUGCAGUGUGAUUUUGUGAAUGUAAAACAAGGAUUGAGAAAAGGGGGUUUUGUUGCUUUGUGUGUGUGUGUGUGAUUCAGACAUCCCAUUUCUGUUUUUCUAUUGCAUUUUGACAUCUACGCCCAAGGCAGAGUGGGAGGUAGAGAACUACGGAGAGAGUAAAGGCUGCAGAAAGUUAAAA